rnacentral:rRNA from 1 species
GGGCUUGACAUCCCACGAAUCCCUUCGAAAGAAGGGAGUGCCCGCAAGGGAGCGCGGAGACAGGUGGUGCAUGGCUGUCGUCAGCUCGUGUCGUGAGAUGUUGGGUUAAGUCCCGCAACGAGCGCAACCCUCACCCCUUGUUGCCACCAGGUCAUGCUGGGCACUCUAGAGGAACUGCCCCGGUCAACGGGGAGGAAGGCGGGGAUGACGUCAAGUCAUCAUGCCCCUUACGUCCUGGGCUACACACGUGCUACAAUGGCCGGUACAAAGGGAUGCCACACCGCGAGGUAGAGCUAAACCCAAAAAGCCGGUCUAAGUUCAGAUUGGAGUCUGCAACUCGACUCCAUGAAGGAGGAAUCGCUAGUAAUCGCGUAUCAGCACGACGCGGUGAAUACGUUCCCGGGCCUUGUACACACCGCCCGUCACACCACGAAAGCCCGUUGUACUCGAAGUCGCUGAG